CACCACUCAAGCCUAGCUUGGUAUUGGGCGCCGCGGUUCGUCCGCGCGCCUUAACGUCUCCGGCUGAGCCGUCCGUCUCUAAGCGUUGUGAACAACGUCCGCUUGCGAGAUUGGAGGGCGCUGGCCGUUAAACACCACGUUCAAA
rnacentral:misc_RNA from 1 species